rnacentral:piRNA from 1 species
GCUGUGACUUGGCUCUGGAAUAUAUC